GGUCCGGUAGCUCAGUUGGUUAGAGCGCCGCCCUGUCACGGCGGAGGUCGCGGGUUCGAGCCCCGUCCGGACCGCCA
rnacentral:tRNA from 1 species